AACAGGAUUAGAUACCCUGGUAGUCCACGCUGUAAACGAUGUCGAUUUGGAGGUUGUGCCCUUGAGGCGUGGCUUCCGGAGCUAACGCGUUAAAUCGACCGCCUGGGGAGUACGGCCGCAAGGUUAAAACUCAAAUGAAUUGACGGGGGCCCGCACAAGCGGUGGAGCAUGUGGCUUAAUUCGAUGCAACGCGAAGAACCUUACCUACUCUUGACAUCCAGAGAACUUUCCAGAGAUGGAUUGGUGCCUUCGGGAACUCUGAGACAGGUGCUGCAUGGCUGUCGUCAGCUCGUGUUGUGAAAUGUUGGGUUAAGUCCCGCAACGAGCGCAACCCUUAUCCUUUGUUGCCAGCGGUUCGGCCGGGAACUCAAAGGAGACUGCCAGUGAUAAACUGGAGGAAGGUGGGGAUGACGUCAAGUCAUCAUGGCCCUUACGAGUAGGGCUACACACGUGCUACAAUGGCAUAUACAAAGAGAAGCGACCUCGCGAGAGCAAGCGGACCUCAUAAAGUAUGUCGUAGUCCGGAUUGGAGUCUGCAACUCGACUCCAUGAAGUCGGAAUCGCUAGUAAUCGUAGAUCAGAAUGCUACGGUGAAUACGUUCCCGGGCCUUGUACACACCGCCCGUCACACCAUGGGAGUGGGUUGCAAAAGAAGUAGGUAGCUUAACCUUCGGGAGGGCGCUUACCACUUUGUGAUUCAUGACUGGGGUGAAGUCGUAACAAGGUAACCGUAGGGGAACCUGCGGCUGGAUCACCUCCUU
rnacentral:rRNA from 1 species